AUACGUAGGGGGCGAGCGUUGUCCGGAAUGAUUGGGCGUAAAGGGCGCGUAGGCGGCCCGGUAAGUCUGGAGUGAAAGUCCUGUUUUUAAGAUGGGAAUUGCUUUGGAUACUGUCGGGCUUGAGUGCAGGAGAGGUUAGUGGAAUUCCUAGUGUAGCGGUGAAAUGCGUAGAGAUUGGGAGGAACACCAGUGGCGAAGGCGACUUACUGGACUGUAACUGACGCUGAGGCGCGAAAGUGUGGGGAGCAAACAGGAUUAGAUACCCUGGUAGUCCACACUGUAAACGAUGAAUGCUAGGUGUAAGAGGUAUCGACCCCUUUUGUGCCGGAGUCAACACAAUAAGCAUUCCGCCUGGGGAGUACGGCCGCAAGGUUGAAACUUAAAGGAAUUGACGGGG
rnacentral:rRNA from 1 species